AAUAUUGGACAAUUGUGGCAACCCUGAUCCACCCAUGCCGCGUGUGUGAAGAAGGUCUUCGGAUUGUAAAGCACUUUAAGUUGGGAGGAAGGGCUUUAGUUCAAUACCCUUAAGUUCUUAUGUUACCAACAGAAUAAGCACCGCCUAACUCUGUGCCAGCAGCCGCGGUAAUACAGAGGGUGCAAGCGUUAAUCGGAAUUACUGGGCGUAAAGCGCGCGUAGGUGGUUCAGUAAGAUGGGUGUGAAAUCCCAGGGCUUAACCUAGGAACUGCUUUCAUAACUGCUGAGCUAGAGUACGGGAGAGGGUAGUGGAAUUUCCUGUGUAGCGGUGAAAUGCGUAGAUAUAGGAAGGAACACCAGUGGCGAAGGCGACUACCUGGACUGAUACUGACACUGAGGUGCGAAAGCGUGGGGAGCAAAC
rnacentral:rRNA from 1 species